AUUGUCAAGGACUAUGCUCUUGGUGCAGCAGCCGCGGUAAUUCCAGCUCCAAUAGCGUAUAUUAAAGUUGUUGCAGUUAAAAAGCUCGUAGUUGAACCUUGGGUCUGGCUGGCCGGUCCGCCUCACCGCGAGUACUGGUCCGGCUGGACCUUUCCUUCUGGGGAACCUCAUGGCCUUCACUGGCUGUGGGGGGAACCAGGACUUUUACUGUGAAAAAAUUAGAGUGUUCAAAGCAGGCCUUUGCUCGAAUACAUUAGCAUGGAAUAAUAGAAUAGGACGUGCGGUUCUAUUUUGUUGGUUUCUAGGACCGCCGUAAUGAUUAAUAGGGAUAGUCGGGGGCGUCAGUAUUCAGCUGUCAGAGGUGAAAUUCUUGGAUUUGCUGAAGACUAACUACUGCGAAAGCAUUCGCCAAGGAUGUUUUCAUUAAUCAGGGAACGAAAGUUAGGGGAUCGAAGACGAUCAGAUACCGUCGUAGUCUUAACCAUAAACUAUGCCGACUAGGGAUCGGGCGGUGUUUCUAUGAUGACCCGCUCGGCACCUUACGAGAAAUCAAAGUUUUUGGGUUCUGGGGGGAGUAUGGUCGCAAGGCUGAAACUUAAAGAAAUUGACGGAAGGGCACCACAAGGCGUGGAGCCUGCGGCUUAAUUUGACUCAACACGGGGAAACUCACCAGGUCCAGACAAAAUAAAGGAUUGACAGAUUGAGAGCUCUUUCUUGAUCUUUUGGAUGGUGGUGCAUGGCCGUUCUUAGUUGGUGGAGUGAUUUGUCUGCUUAAUUGCGAUAACGAACGAGACCUCGGCCCUUAAAUAGCCCGGUCCGCGUUUGCGGGCCGCUGGCUUCUUAGGGGGACUAUCGGCUCAAAGCCGAUGGAAGUGCGCCGCAAAUAAACAGGUCAGUAAUGCCUUUAGACG
rnacentral:rRNA from 2 species